rnacentral:rRNA from 1 species
GUGGGGAAUCUUCCGCAAUGGACGAAAGUCUGACGGAGCAACGCCGCGUGAGUGAUGAGGGUCUUCGGAUUGUAAAGCUCUGUUAAUCGGGACGAAAGAGCCUAGUGUGAAUAAUGCUAGGAAGUGACGGUACCGGAAUAGAAAGCCACGGCUAACUACGUGCCAGCAGCCGCGGUAAUACGUAGGUGGCAAGCGUUGUCCGGAAUUAUUGGGCGUAAAGCGCGCGCAGGCGGAUCUGCCAGUCUGUCUUAAAAGUUCGGGGCUUAACCCCGUGAUGGGAUGGAAACUACAGAUCUAGAGUAUCGGAGAGGAAAGUGGAAUUCCUAGUGUAGCGGUGAAAUGCGUAGAUAUUAGGAAGAACACCAGUGGCGAAGGCGACUUUCUGGACGAAAACUGACGCUGAGGCGCGAAAGCCAGGGGAGCGAACGGGAUUAGAUACCCUGGUAGUCC